ACGGGAGGCAGCAGUGGGGAAUAUUGGACAAUGGUCGGAAGACUGAUCCAGCCAUGCCGCGUGAAGGAAGAAUGUCCUAUGGAUUGUAAACUUCUUUUGUACGGGAGCAAUAAGGAUGUCGUGACAUCCGAUGAGAGUACCGUACGAAUAAGCAUCGGCUAACUCCGUGCCAGCAGCCGCGGUAAUACGGAGGAUGCGAGCGUUAUCCGGAUUUAUUGGGUUUAAAGGGUGCGUAGGCGGAAUGCCAAGUCAGCGGUGAAACGCACGCGUUUACCGCGUGACCUGCCGUUGAAACUGGUAAUCUGGAAUACGGAUGCUGUGGGAGGAAUGUGUGGUGUAGCGGUGAAAUGCAUAGAUAUCACACAGAACACCGAUUGCGAAGGCAUCUCACAAAUCCGUCAUUGACGCUGAGGCACGAAAGUGUGGGGAUCAAACAGGAUUAGAUACCCUGGUA
rnacentral:rRNA from 1 species